rnacentral:lncRNA from 1 species
AAAAACCUCACGUGCAGUUUGUAGAACUAUGAGAUUUAUCCCCUAAUUGCUCUAUCUUCUUCAUUCUACGGUAAUGGCCAAGGGUAAAGGAAAAGAAAAUCCCUAAAUCUCACACUCUCUUUCUCAUUUCUCGUGGCCAAGGGAUUAGAAUCCAUUCUCGCGGUGGCUUAAGGUGGUUCCGAAUCGGUAAUUUAUUAUUGCGGUGGCUCACGGUGGCUCUGAGUCGAAGGUGAACUCACCUUCUUCUUUACUUUUUUUAUUUUUUAUCCAGUCCAUUCGUCUCUUUCCUUUCGUUUUUACUUUUCGUUUUAUUUGAUUGGUUUUGGUUGCUGUUCGGUUUUUUAGUAGGUGAAUUAAGAGAGAAUGAAGACAAUUGGGAACCCCAUGGAGAUCCUCCCUUGUUCUUUUAUUACCCAUUCCACUACUGCAUGAUGUCACGUGCUAACUUAGCUUUUAGAGAGUAUAAACUCUA